UCGAACCUUAUUCCGAAAAGGAACAACUUGUGAACGCGUAAUCACACAUUCGGCGCGUGGGGACUUUAACUGGUCAUCACGCUCGCCCAGUCCGUAGGGUCAUGUGCAGUCAAAUGAGUGCACACUCAUUAGGUUGUGCGUGAUUCUCUCGGAAUUCACCAAACCCCGGCGCGGAAAGCGUCAAGGACCAUUCAACGAAACAGCUCACCUUGAAUGCUGCCUAUUUAGGUUCGUAUUCAGGUGUUGCUGCGAUCAUAAGUCUUAAACGACUCUCGGCAACGGAUAUCUCGGCUCUCGCAUCGAUGAAGAACGUAGCGAAAUGCGAUACUUGGUGUGAAUUGCAGAAUCCCGUGAACCAUCGAGUUUUUGAACGCAAGUUGCGCCCCAAGCCGUCAGGCUGAGGGCACGCUUGCCUGGGUGUCACGCAUCGUCAUCUCCCCCAUCUUCUCAAGCUUUGCUUGGGUGAUUUCGGAGAAGGAUAUUGGUCUCCCGUGUGUUACCGCACGCGGUUGGCCUAAAUUUGAGACUCGGGGGCGUGGAGCUACYUGACAAGCGGUGGUGUGUAGAUGCCUCGUGCAAAUGUCGGUUUCUUCGGUCCCAACUGAGUCUGCGACCCUUUUAGUGUUGCUUGCRCGAUUCUUCGAACCCGACCCCAGAUCAAGUGCA
rnacentral:rRNA from 1 species